CACCUCCGCUCCCUCCCAUUACAGUCACACACCCAGCAUGCGUCCAGGAGGCGCUUGUCUCACCAAGGUGAGGGGAAUGAUAAAGGCAACUUUCCAUUUUUCCCUGUCAACUUCAAGAGACUUGAGAGCCGCUUGGAAUUCCCAGAAGUUCAAAGUCUCCACAAGACUUUCAGGGAUGUCGUGUACAGCUGCGAGCAAUCAGCCGUGGUGGUGGCUUGCCCUUGUUCUGGCGAGAAGAUCUGCAAAGAGGAGCGGCUGCAGUGAGUCUUGAAGAUUCGCAGGUCGUUCGGAUUGGGCAUUGGGCAGCACUGGCAAAGGUAGAUUUUCUCCCACUUGACGUGAUGGAGUCUCAUUGGAAUGCACGUCUGGUGAGAUGAUCAGCGCCUUGGAGACAGGAUUGUAGACCUUGUAAGCCUUGUGUUCAAUGCCAUAGCCUAGGAAAAUGCCUCGUUCGCUUGUUGGAGUGAGUUUUUUUUCUAGUUAUAGAGGGGAUAUGAACGCCAUGGAAGGUGCGCUAAUCCAUUCGAAUUCCACUUUGUGCAAGAACCCUUGACAAUCCUGGACCUCAACAUUGGCAAGCACUUAAACGCGUCUUUUGGUACUUCCGAGAUACGUUUUCUUACGGUCUUAAGGCCACGAGUCAAGCUUACUGGGCUGGCUUUGGCUAAAUUGUUUAGCCUUCACAAUGCAGUUAGCAGCAAGAAGAAGAGCGUCGUUGCCUGCUCCAGCUGUGAGGCGGAGGCUAGUUCCGCAUGCAAAGAGGCCAUCUGGCUUCGCCGCCUCCUCAACGACACCCGGCCCAACACCAAUCUACAGUGACAAUCAAGGCUACAUCGCCUCGAGCAAACAUCACAAGAUUAAUUCCCGGACCAAACACGCACCACGCUGGGAGACACGUCCAGUUCUUUCCAUGUUCUUGUGAUUCCAAUCUCGAUAAUGCAAUCUUAAUUGAACAUCACAACAGCCUGGAAAUCGAGUCCGCUGCUUCAUCCCACCAAACAAUCUGAUCUCAUGCACAGCAUGAAACGAACAUUCUCUGUGCCUCUCCUGAUAGAACCAUACAGAACCUUCUCAUGUCCAGCCACUUGAUUAUUCUAUGCAGCACACUCAAAUACGUCCAGGUAAAUCUCGAAAUCCUCUCAAAGUAGGCUAAAGGAGAUACUUUGUCAUCUUGCCAAAAGCCCCUUCUAACACAUGCUUGAGGGUUAGAGAGGGCUUGGGAAGGUGUAGUUUUGGUCUUUCCCUUGAAAGAUCAUGGACCUCACUUCACUACAGUGUCACCUUUAGCCCAUUACAAUGCUGCAUAAAGGGAUCACUGCGUUUGCUCAUUGUGGCGAGGGCGAGAAAGUCCUCGAUGGGAGCGUGGAAGGUGACACUCCGGCCUGCGCCUACAUCAGCUCCGUGAAUCGCAACCAGGAUUUCUUUCUUCUCGUGACAGGGGAUUUUAGGAUCGCGCCAGGCAGGGUCUGCAUGAUCGAUAUCUUCGGCCGUGGCAGGCAACUGGAGAAUGCCGAGGAAUUGCUGCGUGCCAUGCCGUUUGUGCCGGAUGCUCUGGUUUGUAGGGUUUUGGUGGCAUCUUGCCGAUCGCAUUACGAUAUAUUUCGGGCAUUGGAUCGACGUAUGUCCUGGCAAAUCGCUCCAGGAGCGUGUUUAAAAUGGAAAUUGGCGGAAAGCGAUGUGUUUGUUUUUUAUUCUAUCUAGCUGUGCUUACGAAAGUUUCCGAAAGGUAAGAGCUGUAACUUAGUCAAGUCAGCCUCGCAACCUUUGGAGAAACUUUCAAGUCAUGCCGAUGAGCUCUCUCAACUUCUGGAUGAGACCACGGUCGUCAAUCUGGAACGCUUUCGCGAUCACGUCGUCAUUGAUUGGAGGAUUGGAAUCAAACACCGCCUUGGCCACCUGAGUUGCCCCGGGGUUUUGGCUGUUGAAGCCAGCCAUCGCAACCGCAGGCUCCUUUCCAACGUUGAGCUGGAAGUGGACGAGUCCCCGAGGGAAGACGAACAGAUCUCCAGGAUAGAGCAUUUGGGCGAAGAGCUUGUUGUCCGGCAAGGUGGUGACGAAUCCGACUAAGAGGUGCCCGUGCACGAGGAAGAGCAGCUCGGAUCCUCGGGGAUGGACGUGGGGGGGAUUGGUGCCGCCGGGAGCAUAGUCGACGCGGGCAAAAGCUACACCAAAGGUGUUGAGACCGGGGAAAUUGUUGACACUCGCCAGCGUGACGUUGGAGCCGAGCUUGUUGUCGGUGUUCCCGGGAGUCGCCAGCAGGCUCGACUUGAAGUCCUCGGCUUUCACAUCGGCGGCCGCCUUGCAGACGACGCCGUUCACUUUGAUCUUGGAGCCAUUGUCUGCAACGCAAAAGUCCUGCAGCAUAUCUUCAUCCGCGGCAUGCACAAACAAGAUGGAGCUGAUUGCUAGGAGGAAGGAUAGAACAAAACGAAGAUGAGCCAUCUUGCGAGCUUGGAAAAGACUGAUGGAGCUAUAUGAGGGAGGGGCAGGCAUUUUAUAGCCGGAGGAGGGGAGGCGAGGUCCUUUGGAUGACUUCGUCGUGAAUCGUGCACGAUUUUAGCUACAUGGUCUUCUGUUCCCUUCUGUUUCAUUUUUUUACUCUUGCUGUCCGCGUAACAACAAUCUGAUUUGUUUGCUGCCAAGUCGUCUCGGAAGUUUUCUUUUACCGGGCUUGUCUAGAGCCGUCAAAAUCAUCUUUUCUGUGUGUAGAUGAUGACGACCUUGGUUUUGAUGGUAAGAACUGGUCUCAGUGAAACUCGAGUUUUACACGGUCUUGGUAAAAACUUGACACUAAAUUGCUUGGCACCAGAGUUUUAACGGAAUUAUUAUGGAUUGUGUAGGUCCAUUGCUGAUACAAAUAAACCAUGGGUAUAUCGACCAAAGGUACGUCUAUGUAGGUUAUCAAUUUUGCAGACAACUGUGUUGUUAGAAGGAUGGUUGCUCACAUAGUCAUGAGACAUACAUAGUCUUAGUCAUUGUGAUUAUUGCUUGCAUCAUUGUCAUGGGCAAAAUAGAAUGUUUAUUGCUGCCACUUUAUUAAUCAGUUUAAUGAAAUAAACUUAUGAUAUUAAAAAGUUUUAUAAUUUGUCCCACCAGUGCAAUCUAGGAAAGCAUCCAGUUGGGGUGGUGGGAGUGAACUGAGAGAUACUCCUGUGCUGCUGUGUGAGCAUGUCAAUCAGUCAGCUGACCUCAGUAUCAGUGGUCGUGGGCAGUGCAUUCUAAAGCUCUUGGACUUGUUGGGCAAAGUCGGGCACCCAUGCUGGCAUGACUUGGUCGUGACCACAGUGAGUUCUGGUUGUUGAUAGGAGUGUUGUAAGUAGCAUAUGCAUCCUAGUCAGACAUGAGGCGGUCAAGAACUCUUGGAAUUCCCUGCCAUUGCAAAGAAACAAAGAAAAAAUAUCAAUGGCUAACUUUCAUUCACCAUUUUGUCAAGGAAAAAUCUAAACAAUACACCACAUUAUUAAAGAAUAGUUUGGCUGACCAAGAUGUAAUCGUUUGUACUACUCCUGUUCCAUCUAUGGUGCCCAAUUGUGUAGUGCUGUUAAUAAUGUAGAGUUGAGAGGCAUUAUUAGUCAUGUGGAUGUCCUCUGCUGCUGCCUGGUUCCAGGAGCCCUUCCGCUGUUGUGAGUUGAGCCUGCAAAGUCCGUUGCAAUAUUAAAAACGUUUAAUUGCCCAGCCAGCCUCACUGGUUUGAUCGGUCAGUGUAUAGUUUUAUCUUAAGAGUAACAUUCCACGAACUAGAGAGUAGAAUUUAGCUGCUCAACCAAAGUCCCACCCAUAUCCAUAACCCAUGCCUUGUCCACCAGUGGAAUCAACUCUCUGCAAGGAAAGAAAAUAAGAUCCAAGCACUAAUCACGCAAGUUUACCGCAGAUCAUGGCUCACAACGAGCAACGUCCUCUCCUUCUUUAAGUACACGAGGUAAGAAUGUAGCUUGGAAUUUUUGGUGAGGUGCUGCUGAUCUCUCUAUCUCUUGAAGCGCCCGAAGAGUCAACACAUGUUACUUUCGAUGAAUCGGCUGUUUCCCUCCCACAACCGGCCAAGACACACAGCUCGGCUUGCAAAAAUGACGAAGAGGUUUGCAAAUUUUUUUUUCCUUCUCUAUAUACUGAAGUCUCAAGCUUGCAGGGGUGCCAGAAUGCUGAAGCGGAUUCUAACAGCCGGUGAGCUUGUUUACGUUUCGCGUGGUUAUUGGUGAAAUUCAUGGUGUUCUUGCUUUUAAGGUUGCUUUGACUCGACUAUGCUGCCGCGAUGCGUCCCCAUCCUGAGAAGGUGCAAAGCUUACUUGCUAAUUUUUGUAGAUCUUCUAAGCUUUGCUGUUUACAGGCUCAAAGAGGGGGUGAAGAUGCUUUCAUCACUGAAGGCUCCUGGAUGGGUGUUGCUGAUGGUGUUGGGGGCUGGGCCGGAGAAGGUAAGACAAAUCUUUCUUUGAGUCUGUUUCUUCAAAAGAGUUUUUACUGGUUUUCAGGCAUUGAUUCAGGGAUGUAUUCUUGGGAGCUUAUGGGACAUUGUAAGGCAUUGGUUGUAAACAGCAAAGGGAAACCGGACCCCAAGGACGUGCUUGUCAGUGUGAUUUUGUGUAUGUGGAAUGCCCUGUCAACUUCAUUGCUUUGGUAUGGUUAUGUACAUAAUGGUAUGGGUGUGAUGCUUGGCGGUUGGUGUCUUGGAUGAAUGACAUGUCUUCUUUGCUGACGUGGAGACUUGUCAUCACUUGUCUCCACACUCCUUCUCAAGGUUCGCACUGUCAGUCAAAGGAGUGAUUUGAGGAAGAGUUUAUGCUUCACUCGAGGCAAGGACUUCGUCAGGAUAUCAAUGACCAUUGAGCUGGUCGGACAGAAUUCCAGGUUGAUUGUUCCAUUGUUGACUUGAUCCCGGAUGAAAUGGAACCUCAACUCAAUGUGCUUGGUGUGUGAGUGAAAUCUCACAUCCCGAGUCAAUGCUAUUGCUGACAUAUUGUCGCAGUAGAGUUUGACUGCUGGAAUUUGAAUCCCGAGGUGCAGCAAUGUCUUAAGCCAGAUGGCCUCUUUCGCUGCUGCUGCAGCUGCGAUGUAUUCAGAUUUGCAUGAGAACAUCGUAGUGAUCUGUUGCCUCCUGGAACACCAACUAACCAUGUGAUGGUUAUACAUGAAGACAUACCCUGAGGUGGAUCUUUUGUCAUCUGGAUCUCCUGCCCAGUCUACAUCUGUGAAUCCCACCAGGCCAUUGUCUCCAUCUCCUCUUGCAUAUUUCAGUGUGAAUUUCCUUGUGCCACUCAUAUACCUCAUGAUCUACUUCACAACGGCCCAAUGUGAGGGUGAUGGAUUGUCCAGGAACUUUGAGACUGCUCCCACACUAAAUGUAAGGUCAAGCUUAGUUGAGACCAUCAAGUAGAUGAGGCUCCUGACCACUGAAUGGUACAGUGUUGUGGUCUCCUCUUCAGGAGUGUCAUCAGAGGUUGAUGUCAAACUUCUCCAGAGGUACUCUAUGCUUAAUGCUAAUCCGGUGGCUACUCCUAUGGAAGUAGGCUCAAAGUUGUCCAAGGCUUUUAUGUCAUGGAUGUAUUUCUCCUAGGGGAGCUCAAGUACUCCACAUUGCUUAUCAGUGCAAGUUUCCCAGAUCGGUCAUCUCAAAUCUAGCAGUGAGAGAGGCCUUGAUGUGGUGGAUGAGUUAUAUCUGGUUAUUGUAUCGUCCACAUAUAAGGCUAAGAAUAGAAAUCCUUGGCCAUCUCGGUAUAUGUAGAGAUUAUUAUCAGCCGUGCUACGAGUAAAGCCCAACAAGGUCAAAAAGCUGUUAAUUUUAGUGUACCAUGACCUGGGGCUUUGUUUCAGCCCGUAGAGAGCCUUGUGCAAGCGGCAGACUAGAUGCUCCUGUCUGGGACGUAUAAAUCCAAGAGGCUGGGCAACAUACACCUCCUCCUCAAGAUCACCGUUCAGGAAUGCAAUUCUCACAUCAAGUUGAUGGAGCUCCAGGUCAAGCUCAGCUGCAAGACUCAUCAAAACACAAAUUGUUGUCAGCUUUACAACAAGGCUAUAAGUUUCAGAGUAAUCAACUCCUUGGAUUUGAGAGAAACCACGAGCUACAAAGCGUGUCUUGUAGCACUCAAUGCUGCCAUCAGCUCGAUAUUUCUUCUUGAACAGCCAUUUGGCUAUGACUGCCUUCUUGUCGGGAGGGAGGGGAACCAAUGUCCAGGUUCCAUUCUUGAUCAAUGAGUCAUACUCAUCCUGCAUGGCUGCUUGCCACUGUGAGGCAUCAGGAUUGGAGAGAGCAGCUUGGUAGCCACGAGGUUCAACAAUGGAGCUCAUGGCCCAAUAGAAUCCCUUCUUGCGUGGAGCUUGAGCAAGAGAUUCUAAAGCUUUGACCGUUGGCUUGCUCACUUGUCCUGAACGGGUAACAGCUCCAAUCUCUUGACGAGGUGGUGGUGUCAUGAGAGAAUCUGGAGGAGGUGAGCGGGAAGAUCCUCCAACUGUUUCUUCACCAACGAACAGCUCGUCCACAAUAGCAGCAAGAUUCUGCUCAUUGGAUGAAGUAGUGUUGCUGCUAGUAGCCACCGAAGUGACUAGAGGAACUGGUAGCAGUAGAGUUGCUGGAGAAGGCUCAUCACCAAGUGGAAGAGAUGUUCCUCCUUCUGGAACGAGUAGCCUCUGGAUUGCUGGUGUUGGUGGGUGGGUGAGCUCGUCUUCCAGCACUGGGGUCAAGUCCACCAAGUUAGAACUUGAAGGAAUAGUACCUUGAAUGUGGCAAUAAAGAUCUUGCUCAUUGAAAGAGACAUCUCGGCUGACCACGAGCUUCUUGAGAGCAAGAUUAUAGAGGUGAUAGGCCUUGGAAUGAGCAUGAUAGCCCACGAAGAUGGUCUUCUGGCUCCUAGGAUCCAGCUUCUGCCGAGUUGCAUCUGGAAUGCGAGCAUACAUUUUGCAGCCAAAGACCCUCAAGUGCCCUAACUAAGGACACUUCCCAGUCCAAGCUUGAUAAGGAACCACACCAGUGCUCCUCGAUUACGGAUGUAAACAACCAUGUUAAUGGCUUUACCCCAAAAAGAGUUAGGUAUGCUUGCGUGUUGGAGAAGGCAACAAACAGUCUCUAGCAGCAUGCAAUUGAGGUGCUCUGCCACGCCGUUCUGUUGGGGAGUAUGGGCUGUUGUGUACUGGUGAACAAUGCUAGCCUCAACUAAAAAGUUGAGAAACUCUUUGUUUAGGUACUCUCCACCACCAUCCGUGCAUAACACACGAAUCUUUUGGCCAGUACCCAGCUCUUAAAAAGCUUAAAGUGGUUGAACACUUCACUCUUGGCAUGGAGAAGGCUCACCAUAGCAUAUCUGGAAUAGUUAUCGAUAAAAGACACAAAGUACCUCUUGCGGCUGAGUGUUUCCAUGGCAAGUAGCACAUGUCAUUGUGAACCAGAUCCAAUAAGCCUGUAGCUUGGUCCUCCAUGGUUCUUGAUGGAAAAGGAAGGCGAACUUGCUUCCCAAGAUAGCAAGUUUCACACACGCCUAGAUGGCCAGUUGGGAGCAUGAUGCCUUUAGCAUGUUGGUUACGAGCCAAGGCAUGUAGAUCUCGUUCAUUGACAUGCCCCAGACAAGCAUGCCAGAGCUCAAUGGUGUCUUGUGCUCAGAAAGCAAGCACUUGAGUUGGAAAAACCAGUUCUACAUUUAAACAGUAGAGUGUUUCAUACCUCACACCACUGGCUACAGAAGUACCAUCAUGACCAUAGAUGGUGCACCCUUUUGGGAAGAAGGUGGUAGUAAAGCCUUGAUCUGAGGCUACACCUAUAGAAAGAAUUAUAUGCCCUACUUCAAGUACAAAGUGCAUGUGAUGAACCUCCUUAAAAGGUCCAGUGGAUAGCCUGAUCACCACCACGCCACGACCUUCCACCUGGAGUGGUCACUUGUCACCGACAUAAACCUGUUGUAGAGCUUGAAGAGCCUUGUAAGUGUGAAAGGCAGACCUUAAGGGAGUCAUGUGAAAAGAGGCACCACUAUCCAGCCAUAGAACCUCAAGAGCAGACACCAGUGAUGGGUAAAGAGCCAUCAUCAACAACGAGUUGCUCUGGGUAAGCAUGUGCUGGGUGGCAGCCUUCUUUGCAUGACACUCAUGCCCCAUCUUUCCACAAUAGUUGCAAAGACCUUUUUUCUUCUUGGAGAAGUUAGAUCAAGAGCUGGGAGUUGUAGCAGAAGAGAUACGAGGCCCACGGCUAGUGCCUCCUUUCCUCUACUCCCCACUCGAUUGUUUCUUACCAAGAAACAAGGCCUGCUCGCGAGCAGCCUGAGGGGAUCCUUGAUGGCCAACUUGACGCUCAGCAAUCUUGUGCUCUUGAGUAGAUCAGAGUAGAGCUCCUCCAUGGUUUUGCCUGGGACAAAAGAAAGCAUGGAGGACAAUUGUUGCAACUCUGGGGAUACAGAGUAGAGCAAGAAGGCUUUUGCAUAGUCAUCGGAAACUACAGCACCUACUUCCUUCAGCUGCUACAUUAAACCCUUGAGCUUCCCAAUGUAUGUUGCCAUUGUCUCACCAGGCUGCAUGCAUAGGGAGAAAAGUUUCUAGGUCAAAACCAAUUUAGCAUUAGCAGCUUUGACUACAAAGACUUGGGAAAGGGAGUCCCAAUUGGCCUUGGCGGAUUUUUCUAGAUCAAGGAGAUGAAUAAAUUCAUCUCCAAGACUUAGUCCAAUCACGGAAAGGGCUUUGCGGUUCUUAGAGUCCCAAGUAGCUUGCAAAGCUGCUUCUAUAUGUUGAGGUCUCACUUCGGUUCCCUCCACCAAAUCCCAACAAUUUUUUGCCAUUAAAAUUAAUUGGACUUUGGUCUUCCAAGUUGUGAAGUUCUCGCCCAUGAACUUCUGGAGUAGCUUCUCCCAUCCUACAUCCCAGUUGCCAGCUAGGAUGGCCAUGGUGCUCGCUAGGAGAUGUAGUGCGAGGUGGAGUACUGGCAGCCAUUAGUUUCUAGAAGAAAGGACAAAACAGCAAAGUAAGCUAGAAGCGAGGGGGGGGGGGGGGGGUGGGUGGGGGCCGGGAAAAAGCGGUGGGAAACCCUAAAAUGCCAUACGCCAUGCACAUAGAGUGACAAUUAGGGCAGAGGCACGGAUGGACAUCAUGUUGUGCUUGCUUGCGUUCUUGAAUCUGUCGUUCCACCCUAGCAAGGACUACAAAAUCCCUAGCGCGCUCCUACUCGUUGCGUUGCUGUGUUUGCCAGUGUUUCGCCAUCAGGAUCGAAACAAACCCAAUACCAUGUAGAUGUGUGAUUUUGUGUAUGCAGAAUGCUCUGUCGACUUCAUUGCUUUGGUAUGGUUAUGUACAUAACAGUAUGGGUGUGACUCUUGGUGGUUGGUGUCUUGGAUGAAUGACAUGUCUUUUUUGCUGAUGUGGAGACUUGUCAUCACUUGUCUCCACAGUACAAAGGCCAAAGGAUCAGCAACGGUUCUUGUGGCUGCAUUGUUUGAGCAACUAAGCUAGUCGGAUUUGAUGUUUGAGGCUGAGUCGGGUCAUAUGUUUCAGAUACUGUAUGCAGCAAACUUGGGAGACUCGGGGUUCAUCAUAGUUCGCAAUUGGCAAGUAGUUGCAAGCUCGGAGCCCAUGCAGCAUAGUUUUAACUUUCCAUUUCAAGUUGGAACUUUUGGUGACCAUCCGAUGGUUGCAGAGGUACUCUUGCUUUUCCCUUAAGUUCGCUAAUUUUCUGUCUACAGGAAUUCAAGAUCCCUGUCUGCAAGGGGGACAUCAUUGUUUUGGGAAGUGAUGGCCUUUUUGACAAUCUCUUCAACGACGACAUAAUCAAAGUUCUUAAAAAAUCUCUUGGGUCCGACAAAGUCAACUUGAAGGUGAACUCUCGCUGUUGAAGAAUCUCAAGAUUGCUAAUAUUCUCUUCACUUUACAGGCAUGUAGCUGGGGCGCAGGCCGAGCGUUUGGACAGCCCGUUUGCUAGGGCAGCAGCUGUCUUUUGUGCAGGACUUUGAAAAACUGCUCGUAGAGUGUUCUGGCUUGGAAGCUAACGAGUCUUGUUUCGACAUUGGCACACGCAAAGGACUUGACUGUUUACCAAGCCCGGUGAAGAACUUUUUCUGUGAAUAUAAAACACUGGAGGCCCAUUGGAUCCAAUCGUAUCGGAGCAAGCACAGCUCUUGGUUCUUAUACAACGAUAUCAUCACUACGUUUAGUGCUUUUGUGGCUGGAAUGGAUCGUGGAAGGAUGCUUCUUGCCAUCGCAUUGGUGAUCAUGAUCAGCGGCAACAUCUAAUGUUCCAGGCCGGGCUCGUUUUCGGUGAUGAGUCAGCAGGCCGAGCUUUUCAAUUCCGAAUUGCGCCUUCCUGUUGUUAACAAGAUCCACACUCUUCUCGAAAGGACCUCCCGGAGAAUGCUCAUCCAGGGUCAGCCCACGCCACCCUCCGGCCCUUCCGAGGACAACCACCAUCAUGAUUGAAGAGGCGGAUAGCCACGUGGCUGACACGUCACGCAAGAAGACACGUCAGGCUCUUUCCAUCUGGCGGCGAAUUCUCCUCCAAAUCCUCCACCUCCACUUCUUUUCCCAUUCUUCCGCACCUCCGCUCCCUCCCAUUACAGUCACACACCCAGCAUGCGUCCAGGAGGCGCUUGUCUCACCAAGGUGAGGGGAAUGAUAAAGGCAACUUUCCAUUUUUCCCUGUCAACUUCAAGAGACUUGAGAGCCGCUUGGAAUUCCCAGAAGUUCAAAGUCUCCACAAGACUUUCAGGGAUGUCGUGUACAGCUGCGAGCAAUCAGCCGUGGUGGUGGCUUGCCCUUGUUCUGGCGAGAAGAUCUGCAAAGAGGAGCGGCUGCAGUGAGUCUUGAAGAUUCGCAGGUCGUUCGGAUUGGGCAUUGGGCAGCACUGUCAAAGGCAGAUUUUCUCCCACUUGACGUGAUGGAGUCUCAUUGGAAUGCACGUUUGGUGAGAUGAUCAGCGCCUUGGAGACAGGAUUGUAGACCUUGUAAGCCUUGUGUUCAAUGCCAUAGCCUAGGAAAGUGCCUCGUUCGCUUGUUGGAGUGUGUUUUUUUUCUAGUUAUAGAGGGGAUAUGGACGCCAUGGAAGGUGCGCUAAUCCAUUCGAAUUCCACUUUGUGCAGGAACCCUUGACAAUCCUGGACCUCAACAUUGACUUAAACGCGUCUUUUGGUACUUCCGAGAUACGUUUUCUUGCGGUCUUAAGGCCACGAGUCAAGCUUACUGGGCUGGCUUUGGCUAAAUUGUUUAGCCUUCACAAUGCAGUUAGCAGCAAGAAGAAGAGCGUCGUUGCCUGCUCCAGCUGUGAGGCGGAGGCUAGUUCCGCAUGCAAAGAGGCCAUCUGGCUUCGCCGCCUCCUCAACGACACCCGGCCCAACACCAAUCUACUGUGACAAUCAAGGCUACAUCGCCUCGAGCAAACAUCACAAGAUUAAUUCCCGGACGAAACACGCACCACGCUGGGAGACACGUCCGGUUCUUUCCAUGUUCUUGUGAUUCCAAUCUCGAUAAUGCAAUCUUAAUUGAACAUCACAACAGCCUGGAAAUUGAGUCCGCUGCUUCAUCCCACCAAACAAUCUGAUCUCGUGCACAGCAUGAAACGAACAUUCUCUGUGCCUCUCCUGAUA
rnacentral:lncRNA from 1 species